rnacentral:rRNA from 1 species
AUGGACAAGAUCAACCUAAAAAUGAUUGAUCGCUUCCAGGGGGAGGAGAUGGUGUACCACAGCUUUGAUUCUGUAGAAGACAACCCUCAUAACUACUAUGCACCAGAAUUCCUAAACACCCUAACCCCAAAUGGACUGCCUCCACAUAUGCUGAAGCUCAAAAUAAAUUGCCCAAUCAUACUACUUAGGAACAUCGACCCUGCUAAGGGACUCUGCAACGGCACGAGAUUGGUCGUUCGUGGAUUUCAAAAAAAAAAUACAAUUGAUGCAGAGAUUGUGGUGGGACAGCACUCUGGAAUGCGGUUUUUCCUGCCUCGGAUACCAUUAUGCCCCUCUGACGAUGACAUGUUCCCGUUCAGUUUCAAGAGGAAACAGUUUCCGGUCAGGCUCAGUUUUGCAAUGACAAUAAACAAAUCAGAAGGUCAAACAAUACCAAAUGUCGGUGUCUACCUGCUUGAACCAGUUUUCUCACAUGGUCAACUAUAUGUCGCACUUUCUAGAGCAACCGCGACAUCAAACAUAAAGGUACUAACAGGUACACAUGAUAAGAAAGAGAAGAAUAAGAAGAUCAGUACAAGCGGGACAUAUACGAAAAAUAUUGUCUACACGGAAGUCCUAACCAAAUAG